rnacentral:rRNA from 2 species
AGCACGGAGAGCUUGCUCUCUGGUGGCGAGUGGCGAACGGGUGAGUAAUGCAUCGGAACGUACCGAGUAAUGGGGGAUAACUGUCCGAAAGGAUGGCUAAUACCGCAUACGCCCUGAGGGGGAAAGCGGGGGAUCUAAGGACCUCGCGUUAUUUGAGCGGCCGAUGUUGGAUUAGCUAGUUGGUGGGGUAAAGGCCUACCAAGGCGACGAUCCAUAGCGGGUCUGAGAGGAUGAUCCGCCACAUUGGGACUGAGACACGGCCCAAACUCCUACGGGAGGCAGCAGUGGGGAAUUUUGGACAAUGGGGGGAACCCUGAUCCAGCCAUGCCGCGUGUCUGAAGAAGGCCUUCGGGUUGUAAAGGACUUUUGUUAGGGAAGAAAAGCUGGGUGCUAAUACCAUCUAGUGCUGACGGUACCUAAAGAAUAAGCACCGGCUAACUACGUGCCAGCAGCCGCGGUAAUACGUAGGGUGCGAGCGUUAAUCGGAAUUACUGGGCGUAAAGCGAGCGCAGACGGUUAAAUAAGUCAGAUGUGAAAUCCCCGAGCUCAACUUGGGACGUGCAUUUGAAACUGUGUAACUAGAGUGUGUCAGAGGGAGGUAGAAUUCCACGUGUAGCAGUGAAAUGCGUAGAGAUGUGGAGGAAUACCGAUGGCGAAGGCAGCCUCCUGGGAUAACACUGACGUUCAUGCUCGAAAGCGUGGGUAGCAAACAGGAUUAGAUACCCUGGUAGUCCACGCCCUAAACGAUGACAAUUAGCUGUUGGGGUACUAGUUACCUUAGUAGCGAAGCUAACGCGUGAAAUUGUCCGCCUGGGGAGUACGGUCGCAAGAUUAAAACUC